UUUGCUUUUCUUUUUUUCCCAUCUUUCAUCUUUCCUUCUCUCAUUCGAGCAUUCCCCAUUUUAAUAUUUUUAAGUAUCUAAAUAAUCUCCUUCACCGUGUUCCCUCCUCUUCUUUUUCUCUCUCCUCUGUAUUUGACAGGACUCACAUCAGCAAUUCAGCACCCUCUAAAAAGUUCAUCACUCUUUACGCGUUUGCUUCCUCUCUUUCUUUCUUUCUUUCUUUCUUUCUCUCUCCUCCCAUAAAACCAAAACCCUAACCUCUUUAAUCUUUAUCCAAUUUCACUGAUACAGUAACUCACUCACUUAAUGGACUCCAACUCCAACAAACCCGAUCAUCCUACUGACUCAACUUGGUCACUCUCACUCCCUACUUCUGACUCUGACAACGUUUUCUUCUUCAACCGAGAUUCACAUAACAACAACAAUCACUUACUCUCUGACUUCCCUUGGUCUUAUAACUCAUCACACGUCGAUGAUUAUAAACCAUCCGAUGCUCCAAUCACAACAACAACAACAACAGCAACAACAGCUGCAGCAACAGCAAGUAGUAGCGCAUCUCAACCUUUACUAGCUGAUCAAAGCUCCGAUAUGACACCAGCCAAUCCUUCUGUAUCGUCGAGCUCAUCCGAGGAUCUUGGCAAAUCGGCGGUGACACCAGCAGCAGCACUGACUGACACUUCGACCAAGGUUAAGAAAAAGGGGCAAAAGAGGAUUAGACAACCGCGAUUUGCAUUCAUGACCAAGAGUGAAGUUGAUCAUCUUGAAGACGGUUAUAGAUGGCGGAAAUAUGGCCAGAAAGCUGUUAAAAACAGUCCAUUUCCCAGGAGCUACUACCGCUGCACCAACAGUAAAUGCAGUGUUAAGAAAAGGGUAGAACGCUCUUCUGAAGAUCCUAGCAUAGUGAUCACUACAUAUGAAGGGCAACAUUGUCACCAUACAAUUGGAUUUCCAAGAAGUAGUGGAUUCCUUAGCCAUGAAGGUGCCUUUCUUGGGCAGUUUGCUCCUCCAAUGUCAUCUCACUCGUCGUUAGUCUAUCCAGGAAUGCAUUUCUCGCAGGAGAAUACAGUGAAUAGCAGCAUUGCACAAGCUGCUGCUGCUGCUUCAGUUAGUACUGUGCACCAGACUCAUCAUCAUCAACAAACCCCAAGUAAUACGAGAGACUCACCUUUGGUUGUGUCUCAAUUAACUCAAGAUCAUCAAAUGCCGCCUCUUAGCAGUGGUGAGGGAUUGCUAGGCGAUAUUGUGCCUCCUGGAAUGCGAAAUCCGUGACUUGGAGAUAACAACACGGAGUAUGUAUAUGCUCGAUUACUACAAGGUCAUUCUCAAGAUAAUGGAGCAUUAACUAGUGAUUAGCAAGGCUAUGUGGUUGGGUCGUGAUGAAUUGAUGAUGAUGAUGUACUACUUAAAAAUGCGGUCAACGAAAUUAACAGUGCAUGGUAAUUCUACAUUAGCACUGUUAAUGAGAUCUUAACACAACUACAAAAGUGGAUUUGCAAUUAUCUUCAAGGCAAACAACUCAUCAGAUUAACUAGCUAGAUACAGAUUUUAUAUGGUAUCACUCAACGACAUACCUUUGCAUUGUUGGUUCGUAAUUUUAUAUAAAAUAUCCAGCAUGUGUAUAAAGUGCAGAUCUCCUCACAUCAUCUCUAAUUAUCCUCUUGAUUCUCUUUCUUUCCCGUUGAAUUAAAAGAAAAAGGUGAAAUUUGUAUGUA